GACUCUCGACAACGGAUAUCUAGGUUCUUGCAUCGAUGAAGAACAUAGCAAAAUACGAUACUUUGUGUGAAUUGCAUAAUCCUAUGAAUCAUUGAGUGUUUGAACGUAGGUUGCGCUCAAAGCCAUUAGGCUGAGGGCACGCUUGCCUGGGCGUCA